GGGAGGGGGUGACUAGUGACAGAGUGAUGGGGGAAGGGGUGACUAGUGACAGAGUGAGGGAGGUGGUGAUUAGUGACAGAGGGAGGGAUGCGGUGACUAGUGACAGUCACCACCUCCUUCACUCUGUCACUGUCACCCCCUCCCUCACUCUGUCACUGUGUCACCCCCUUCCUCACUCUGUCACUAGUCACCCCUUCCUUCCCUCACUCUGUCACUAGUCACCCCCUCACUC
rnacentral:sRNA from 1 species